rnacentral:piRNA from 1 species
UGCAGGUUCCACUCAUAGAACAGUCUAA